UUCUACCUCCUGCCAGAUCUCUGCUCAGCUGGAUCUGGGCUGCUGAGUCCCUCCCUCCGCAAGUGCUUCAGAUCUGCUUCAAGGAGACCAUAUAAAAGGAAGUGUGGCCCCCAUGUUCCCCAGAUGGGCACGGGUGGCUGAAAUGACCCUGAAGCCAUGCCAGACCUUCCCUCACAGCCCCCAAUGCUGUCACAACCUUUGAGUUAGGAAAGGCCUGGCCUAGGCUGUAGCUUGAGCAGCCCACACAGCACCUUGCUUAGACAGGGCCCGAGACCAAUGCAUGUCCCUCCUCCCCAGGUGUCCCCACGUCAGAAGGGUCCCCCACAGCCUGGCCACAGACUCGUGAGUGCACUUGAACAUCUCCAGCAGAAUAAACAGGGAGCUGACAGGUCAGACUAAGGAAGGGGCAGCCCCAGGACAUGGCUGUAGAGGCCAGGUGGGAAGGCAGGAACUGCAUGGGCAACGUGCGUAAGGCCCGCACACUGCGGGCGCUUGGCAAACAGCUGCUGAAUGCGUGUCUGCAUGGCUUUGACUGUGGUUCCAGUCCCUUGAGGGGGGCCUUUCCUUCCCAACCAAGCAGCAGAGAGAGUUUUGUACAGCACGGCGCUUGAGGUAAGGGUGGCUCUGGCAAGCCGGGCCACUUAAGGUGACCUUUUAAAUCUAUAGCAGAGCCUACAGUCUUGAAAGCAGCAGGUUUCACUGUUAAGAGCCAGAUGUCCUGAAACAGAAAAGGGUUUUUUCAAUCCUAACACCUGGCUUUAAAUAACAAAUACUAAAAAAGCCUGCAGGAGCUCAAAAUUAAAUGGAAAAGGCGGAGACCUUCCAGUUACUCAGGGCCUUCAAGUUCAAGGCGUGUGGUAGAAGAAAGAAGAAUGUCACAGGAGUCUGGAGCUUGAGGGUUUCUUUAAGACUCGGCCUUAGGGGUGAGGGAUGUUUGCCAGAAAAUGAUAAAAUUCCCAUUAGAUUUAGGGGCAUUCUAAGACCAAAGAGGCCUUGUAUGCUGUCCAGCGUCUGAGCAGUGGGGUGGGGAGGGCUCUAGAUGUGAGCCCUGAGAUCAGCACCCCGGGGACUAUAAAAAGCCCCAGAAGAUGUGGACAUGGUCGGCAGAGGGGUGGAGCAGGCCAGGCCAGUGGGUGAGACAAGAACAGCACCGUACAGGCCACAGCAGAGCCACCGACAUCAACAGCAAGACAGAGGUCGACACCCCAGGCCAGGGAGGGAAAGUCAUGAAUCAGCAAAGGCACGGGGAGGAGAGGCCCUUUCCUGAGUGACAGUAAAGAGGGCAACCCUACCAGAAAUUUAGACCAACCUGGGAGAGAAGGGAAAAAGAGUUAAGAAUCCUGAAAUUACUGAUUUUUUUGUUAUCAAAAAAGGCUGAGUUUUAAACCCCAAAUGACUGAACUGCCUUGAAUUAGGAAGCCUAAAUUUUCCAUUAUUAAAGAACAGAAGAGAUUGUGAGCUAGGUUAAUUUCAAUCAUAUCUCCUCAUCCCUAAUGAGAUGGUAAGAUUCACGUGAGCACCUAUAGGGAGCUGAAAGGGCAGCUCACAGGGAGAAGCCUGACCCCACUUGGUCUUGUCCUGGCUGCCCAAAGCUGACCCGCAGGAAACCACACCACCCCGGCCUGCGGAGAGUGCCGAAGUGACUCCUCCAUGCGGUGCCUGCCCUGCUGGGAGCUGAGGGCUGGGCUCUGGGAUCUCAGAGCUUAGAGGCCAGGACCUGGCCCUUCCAUUCACAGAUGGGAAAACUGAGGCCAGAGGGCGUGGGCUGGCCCACAGCCAUAAACCCCAUCCAGAGUUCUUCUCCAAGUGCUGUUUCCAGCAUGGGGCACCUGGGGCUCUAGGGCCCAGAUACAGACACAGCCUUGACUCCACUCUAAAAAUGCCACGGCACUCCUCUGUCCGUCAUUUGGCCUUCCGUGAGACGGCCACACUAGUCACCAGCCGUGGCUAGUGACUCAAGUCUGUUUCCCCUGCAGUAAUGGGACAGUGACAGGACCUGUUCACAGCACCACGACGAGGACUGAGGAGGUGCUCACCUAGGCAUCAAGGCGGCCUGGCUGGUUUCUCGUUCCCGUACACAAUUUCUCUGGUUCCAAAAAUCAGUCUCCAGUUGUCCACUUCUCUGCGGGUGCAGAGGGAAGCCAGGUCAUCUUCCCUGUGGACUGGCUGCACGGAGACCUCUGGUUGCUGCGAGGCCCAGAGUCCCAGGAGACUGCACAAAGCCCCUCGGAGAAGAGCCUUUCUCAAGACCUCCCCUGUGAAUCCCUCACUUACUUGUUGACCCUGAAGCAGUGAGCGGCAGUGAGCAACCAGUGGGAAUUCAGCAAGGUGCCUCCGCAUGCGUGAUACCUCCGGUUAUUGUGGGCCGUGAAGACCUGAAGGCUGACCACCCAGGGCCAGGCCCCCUUGGCCGCAUCCUGCCCUCCGACGAUGCGGACGUUCCAUGACACUGCCAAGACCAGAACAGCAGUUGGCAGCAGCAUCUUCACUAACUCCCGCCCAACCUGGCGUGGAAGCCGGUGACCUCACAGAGCUCCAGGCCUCUGGCCAAUCAGCAGGGCAGCCUCACACCCCCGCCCGCAGCAGUCAUCAGGGCAGGAGGCUCAACUGAGUGGGUCCCUGCCUGGGGAGCAGCCCCUUCCUCCGUCCCAAGGCCAGGA